ACACCCGGGAAACUGGGUAUAAUACCCGAUAGGUCUCGAUUGCUGGAAUGCAUCGAGAUUUAAAGCUCCGGCGCCUAAGGAUGGGUCUGCGGCCUAUCAGGUAGUAGUGGGUGUAGCGUACUACUAGCAUACGACGGGUACGGGUUGUGAGAGCAAGAGCCCGGAGAUGGAUUCUGAGACACGAAUCCAGGCCCUACGGGGUGCAGCAGGCGCGAAAACUUUACAAUGCUGGCAACAGCGAUAAGGGAACCUCGAGUGCCAGGUUACAAAUCUGGCUGUCGAGAUGCCUAAAAAGCAUUUCAUAGCAAGGGCCGGGCAAGACCGGUGCCAGCCGCCGCGGUAACACCGGCGGCUCGAGUGGUAACCGUUAUUAUUGGGUCUAAAGGGUCUGUAGCCGGCCGGAUAAGUCUCUUGAGAAAUCUGGCAGCUUAACUGUCAGGCUUUCAGGAGAUACUGUCUGGCUCGAGGCCGGGAGAGGUGAGAGGUACUUCAGGGGUAGGGGUGAAAUCUUGUAAUCCUUGAAGGACCACCAGUGGCGAAGGCGUCUCACCAGAACGGACCUGACGGCAAGGGACGAAAGCUAGGGGCACGAACCGGAUUAGAUACCCGGGUAGUCCUAGCCGUAAACGAUACUCGCUAGGUGUCGGCCACGGUGCGACCGUUGUCGGUGCCGUAGGGAAGCCGUGAAGCGAGCCACCUGGGAAGUACGGCCGCAAGGCUGAAACUUAAAGGAAUUGGCGGGGGAGCACCACAACGGGUGGAGCUUGCGGUUUAAUUGGAUUCAACGCCGGAAAUCUUACCGGGACCGACAGCAAUAUGAAGGCCAGGCUGAAGACUUUGCCGGAUUAGCUGAGAGGUGGUGCAUGGCCGUCGUCAGUUCGUACUGUGAAGCAUCCUGUUAAGUCAGGCAACGAGCGAGACCCA
rnacentral:rRNA from 1 species